GACGAACGCUGGCGGCGUGCUUAACACAUGCAAGUCGAACGGAAAGGCCCUGCUUUUGUGGGGUGCUCGAGUGGCGAACGGGUGAGUAACACGUGAGUAACCUGCCCUUGACUUUGGGAUAACUUCAGGAAACUGGGGCUAAUACCGGAUAGGAGCUCCUGCUGCAUGGUGGGGGUUGGAAAGUUUCGGCGGUUGGGGAUGGACUCGCGGCUUAUCAGCUUGUUGGUGGGGUAGUGGCUUACCAAGGCUUUGACGGGUAGCCGGCCUGAGAGGGUGACCGGCCACAUGGGGACUGAGAGACGGCCCAGACGCAUACGGGAGGCAGAAGUGGGGAAUAUGGCACAAGGGGCGGAAGCCUGAGGCAGCAACGCCGCGUGCGGGAUGACGGCCUUCGGGUUGUAAACCGAUUUCGCCUGUGACGAAGCGUGAGUGACGGUAAUGGGUAAAGAAGCACCGGCUAACUACGU
rnacentral:rRNA from 1 species